AUUGCUAGUAUCAUAAACAGUUGAGUAAGAAAAUUUUCUAAAUUAAUAAUCAAUUCUUACUGUUGAAUAAGCACUUCUUCCAGCAUACUUAAUAUUCCAAGCAACAGAGGCAAACCUUUAUUUUAGCUACAUUUAUGAUCACGGAGGGCCUGUGCCAUGGUUAGGUGGACACUGUUCUAACUACAAAAAUAUCUAAAGAAAUGAUGAACUGCGUACCUGUGGGGUGUGGCCUCUUCCUCAGAAGGCUGAUCAAUGCUGGGAGAUGGAUACAUGAAGGAUUAAUAAUUCGGAAUAAUCAAUAUUUUAUAUACUACACUUGAAAUUCUUAUGCAAAUGAAAUAAAUAAAGCUUGUGUCAAUGUUUCUGUA